rnacentral:tRNA from 1 species
AGCUCAGAGGUGCUGACCGAGGCAAGAUCACGGACGCCCUGUAAAUCCGUCGCGAAAGCUUCAGAGGUUCGAAUCCUCUACCCGCCACCA